UCUUUGUGUAACGUUAUCCACAUCAUGUGGAUAACGUUACUCUUGGUAGUAAAUUUAGACUAGCUCAACCUGGACCUGUUGCAAUUCCGUUACUGAGGUGUCUGUGUAUCCACAUUGUUCUUAGCUAGCCUGUGUGUGUCUUAUCCUGCCGUUUUUUGUUACUUAUUUUCUUCUCAUUGCUUUCAGGUGAUGACGUUUUCUGUAGUUUUGUUCCCGGAGGAGGAUGACUGUGUGGCAGCAGUUCCACGCCAGCUAUGGGAAUUGCAUGUUGAUCUCGUAAUUGCUGAAAUGUUUACUUGGUUUCACCAUAUUUACCUGUUCACCAACUUUUAUGUUUAUUUUUAGGAUGGCGCAGUACUCCAAGGCACCAGAGAAGUACUCCACACCACCAUGUAGAGGAUGGCUACAUAGGGCAAGAAGGCAGAGGUAGGGGGACGUUUUACCUCUGCACAUGAAGGAGCCAUAAGGAAGAAUCUUUCCAACCAGGAUGCCACUGAUGAGGCUGUCCUGAACCAGGUCCCCAGGUACCAGAAAGUGGCAGCUGACCAUGGAGGUGGUCAGCUGCCCCUUUCAUAAGCUUAUUGCACUAAU
ensembl:lncRNA